AACGAACGCUGGCGGCAUGCCUAACACAUGCAAGUCGAACGAGACCUUCGGGCCUGGUGGCGCACUGGUGCGUGACGCGGGGGAACCUGCCCUUAGGUUCGCAAUAACUCCCCGAAAGAGGUCCUAAUACCGGCUAAUGUCUUCCGACCAAAGAUUGAUGGCCUUUGGAUGGGCGUGCGAUGGCUUGGCUAGUUGGUAGGGGAAAAGCGUACCAAGGGUAGGUUCCGUAGCUGGUAGGAGAGGAUGAUCAGCCACACUGGGCGUCAGGCACGGCCCAGAAUCUUAGGGGAGGGGGCAGUGGGGAAUACUGGACGAUGGGGGAAAGGCUGAACCAGCAAUGCCGGGGGAGUGCUGAAGGCCGUAGGGAUGUGAAGUUAUUUUACACGGGGUGAUAAUGACAGUACCGGGAGAAUAAGCACCGGCUAACUCCGUG
rnacentral:rRNA from 1 species